CAAGGAGGUACUGAAGUCUCAGUGCAGCCAGGAACUGCAGAGUCUCCUCCGGGGCCGGAUACUGACCACGGAUGACUGCUUCAUGGGCCUGUAGACAGAGAGAAUAAAGGAUGAAGACUGCGUCUGUAGUUUAACUUGUACCUGUUCAAACAUGAACGCGAACUCCACGCUAUCUUUGGGAACGUUGUCUGUGUCCAAGAAGCAGUAGAGCUUGAAGUAAAACCUCCAGCCAGUGUUGUGUUCAUCUGGACUCGCUGAAAGCCUGGAGGCCAGAGGAGCGAACAUGUUCCUGCUGUCCUCCAUGGCCAGGCCACGGAUCAGCUUCUCCACCACCUGACCCAGAUAAUAUUCAGUAAAUAAGGGUC